rnacentral:rRNA from 1 species
GACGAACGCUGGCGGCGUGCUUAACACAUGCAAGUCGAACGGUAAGGCCCUUCGGGGUACACGAGUGGCGAACGGGUGAGUAACACGUGGGUGAUCUGCCCUGCACUUUGGGAUAAGCCUGGGAAACUGGGUCUAAUACCGGAUAGGACCACUGCCUGCAUGGGUGGUGGUGGAAAGCUUUUGCGGUGUGGGAUGGGCCCGCGGCCUAUCAGCUUGUUGGUGGGGUGAUGGCCUACCAAGGCGACGACGGGUAGCCGGCCUGAGAGGGUGACCGGGCACGCUGAGACUGAGAUACGGCCCAGACUCGCGCGGGAAGCAGCAGUGGAGAAGAUUGCACAAUGGGCGCAAGCCUGAUGCAGCGACGCCGCGUGAGGGAUGGCGGCCUUCGGGUUGUAACCCUCUUUCAGCACCGACGAAGCGCAGGUGACGGUAGGUGCAGAAGAAGGACCGGCCAACUACGUGCCAGCCGCCGCGGUAA